CUGAAGAAUAUGAAGAUGGAUACCCCUGGGUAGAGAUAGAACGAAACUUCUCGAAAGUUCAAGUCUAUUUUGACACACAAUUGAAAGGUACGAGCAAAAAUUUGUAUCAUCCAACUGUCGCAGAACGGCAGCGUUAUUAGCUGACCCAUUAACUGAAGAAUGCAUCUUUAAUCAACGGCUGCCCAUCGAAGGGCCCAGCCGCUUGAGUCUGGAAUCGGCAGGAAAGAUAAAGUAUAACCCGAGGUGGAUAGCGGUGGUCGUUUGAGGUGGUUGGCGGUUGUUGGAGGU
rnacentral:lncRNA from 1 species